rnacentral:rRNA from 1 species
UACGGGGGGGGCAAGCGUUGUUCGGAAUUACUGGGCGUAAGGGCUCGUAGGCGGCCAACUAAGUCAGACGUGAAAUCCCUCGGCUUAACCGGGGAACUGCGUCUGAUACUGGAUGGCUUGAGAUUGGGAGAGGGAUGCGGAAUUCCAGGUGUAGCGGUGAAAUGCGUAGAUAUCUGGAGGAACACCGGUGGCGAAGGCGGCAUCCUGGACCAACACUGACGCUGAUGCGCGAAAGCGUGGGGAGCAAACAGG